GAUGAACGCUGGCGGCGUGCCUAGUACAUGCAAGUCGAGCGAAUGGAUUAAGAGCUUGCUCUUAUGAAGUUAGCGGCGGACGGGUGAGUAACACGUGGGUAACCUGCCCAUAAGACUGGGAUAACUCCGGGAAACCGGGGCUAAUACCGGAUAACAUUUUGAACCGCAUGGUUCGAAAUUGAAAGGCGGCUUCGGCUGUCACUUAUGGAUGGACCCGCGUCGCAUUAGCUAGUUGGUGAGGUAACGGCUCACCAAGGCAACGAUGCGUAGCCGACCUGGGAGGAGGAGCGGCCACACUGGGACUGAGACACGGCCCAGACUCCUACGGGAGGGAGCAGUAGGGAAUCUUCCGCAAUGGACGAGAGUCUGACGGAGCAACGCCGCGUGAGUGAUGAAGGCUUUCGGGUCGUAAAACUCUGUUGUUAGGGAAGAACAAGUGCUAGUUGAAUAAGCUGGCACCUUGACGGUACCUAACCAGAAAGCCACGGCUAACUACGUGCCAGCCGCCGCCGUAA
rnacentral:rRNA from 1 species